rnacentral:rRNA from 1 species
UACGGGGGGGGCAAGCGUUGUUCGGAAUUACUGGGCGUAAAGGGCUUGUAGGUGGCCAACUAAGUCAGACGUGAAAUCCCUCGGCUUAACCGGGGAACUGCGUCUGAUACUGGAUGGCUUGAGUGUGGGAGAGGGAUGCGGAAUUCCAGGUGUAGCGGUGAAAUGCGUAGAUAUCUGGAGGAACACCGGUGGCGAAGGCGGCAUCCUGGACCAGCACUGACGCUGAGGCACGAAAGCGUGGGGAGCAAACAGG